GCAGUCUGCCGGUCUGUCGCUCAAUAUUGUUAUUGAGAGGAAAGUCCGGGCAACACAGAGCUCCAUACUUCCUAACGGGAAGUUGUCUGCAAGGGCAAAGUAACGUAACAGAAAAUAACCGUUCCGCAUAAAUGUGGAAUAAGGGUGAAAAGGCGAGGUAAAAGCUCACCGGGUAUUAUAGCAAUAUGGUAUGCCGUACGUCUUAUGGGUUGCGAGGUCAUGUACACCGGCGUAUGUAGGGUUGCUCGCCUGAUGCCGGGGGGUAGACCGCUGGAUUUUACCGGCGACGGUAAAACAAGAUAAAUGGCAGACGCCUGUGCUAAAGCGCAGGUACUGAACCCGGCUUACAGGCAGACUGCGGUU
rnacentral:RNase_P_RNA from 1 species